rnacentral:rRNA from 1 species
CCUACGGGUGGCAGCAGUGAGGAAUAUUGGUCAAUGGGCGGAAGCCUGAACCAGCCAAGCCGCGUGAGGGAAGACGGUCCUAUGGAUUGUAAACUUCUUUAGUCGGGGAGCAAUGCCGGGCACGCGUGCCCGGAGGGAGAGUCCCCGCAGUAUAAGCAUCGGCUAUCUCCGGGCCAGCGGCCGCGGUAUUCCGGGGGAUGCGGGGGUUAUCGGGAUUUGUUGGGUUAAAAGGGUGGGUAGGCGGAGUGUUAAGUCAGCGGUAAAAGGUCGGGGCUAAACCCGGGGCGGCCGUGGAAACUGGGGAUCUUGAGUGGGCGAGAGGUAUGCGGAAUGCGUGGUGUGGCGGUGAAAUGCAUAGAUAUGACGCAGAACUCCGAUUGCGAAGGCAGCAUACCGGCGCCCGACUGACGCUGAGGCACGAAAGCGUGGGGAUCGAACAGGAUUAGAUACCCUAGUAGUC